GAUGAACGCUGGCGGCGCGCCUAACACAUGCAAGUCGAACGAUUAAAGCACCUUCGGGUGUGUAUAAAGUGGCGAACGGCUGAGUAACACGUGGGCAACCUGCCCCUCUCAUUGGGAUAGCCACGGGAAACCGUGGAUAAUACCGAAUACUUCGAGACUUCCGCAUGGAAGACUCGAGAAAGCUCCGGCGGAGAGGGAUGGGCCCGCGGCCUGUUAGCUUGUUGGUGGGGUAACGGCCUACCAAGGCAAUGAUGGGUAGCUGGGUUGAGAGACCGACCAGCCAGAUUGGGACUGAGACACGGCCCAGACUCCUACGGGAGGCAGCAGUGGGGAAUCUUGCACAAUGGGCGAAAGCCUGAUGCAGCGACGCCGCGUGCGGGAUGAAGGCCUUCGGGUUGUAAACCGCUUUCAACAGGGACGAGGCGAAAGUGACGGUACCUGCAGAAGAAGCCCCGGCUAACUACGUGCCAGCAGCCGCGGUAAUACGUAGGGGGCAAGCGUUAUCCGGAUUCAUUGGGCGUAAAGCGCUCGUAGGCGGUCUGUUAGGUCGGGAGUUAAAUCCGGGGGCUCAACCCCCGUUCGCUCCCGAUACCGGCAGACUUGAGUUUGGUAGGGGAAGGUGGAAUUCCUAGUGUAGCGGUGGAAUGCGCAGAUAUUAGGAAGAACACCAGUGGCGAAGGCGGCCUUCUGGGCCAUAACUGACGCUGAGGAGCGAAAGCUAGGGGAGCAAACAGG
rnacentral:rRNA from 1 species